rnacentral:rRNA from 1 species
AGACCCGAAACCCGGUGAUCUAGCCAUGGGCAGGUUGAAGGUUGGGUAACACUAACUGGAGGACCGAACCGACUAAUGUUGAAAAAUUAGCGGAUGACCUGUGGCUGGGGGUGAAAGGCCAAUCAAACCGGGAGAUAGCUGGUUCUCCCCGAAAGCUAUUUAGGUAGCGCCUCGUGAAUUCAUCUCCGGGGGUAGAGCACUGUUUCGGCUAGGGGGCCAUCCCGGCUUACCAACCCGAUGCAAACUGCGAAUACCGGAGAAUGUUAUCACGGGAGACACACGGCGGGUGCUAACGUCCGUCGUGAAGAGGGAAACAACCCAGACCGCCAGCUAAGGUCCCAAAGUCAUGGUUAAGUGGGAAACGAUGUGGGAAGGCCCAGACAGCCAGGAUGUUGGCUUAGAAGCAGCCAUCAUUUAAAGAAAGCGUAAUAGCUCACUGGUCGAGUCGGCCUGCGCGGAAGAUGUAACGGGGCUAAACCAUGCACCGAAGCUGCGGCAGCGAACGUAUCACCCAAGACAACUUUACGGAGUUGACGAUUGACGGAGCGAAGCGACGUCAAAGCGUUCAUUAAAGUCGAGUUGGCUUAGGGAUACGUUCGUUGGGUAGGGGAGCGUUCUGUAAGCCUGUGAAGGUGUGUCGUGAGGCAUGCUGGAGGUAUCAGAAGUGCGAAUGCUGACAUAAGUAACGAUAAAGCGGGUGAAAAGCCCGCUCGCCGGAAGACCAAGGGUUCCUGUCCAACGUUAAUCGGGGCAGGGUGAGUCGACCCCUAAGGCGAGGCCGAAAGGCGUAGUCGAUGGGAAACGGGUUAAUAUUCCCGUACUUGGUGUUACUGCGAAGGGGGGACGGAGAAGGCUAUGUUGGCCGGGCGACGGUUGUCCCGGUUUAAGCGUGUAGGUGUGUGUUCCAGGUAAAUCCGGUUCACUUUAACACUGAGGCGUGACGACGAGGCACUACGGUGCUGAAGCAACAAAUGCCCUGCUUCCAGGAAAAGCCUCUAAGCAUCAGGUAACAUCAAAUCGUACCCCAAACCGACACA